GUGGGGAAUAUUGCACAAUGGGCGCAAGCCUGAUGCAGCAACGCCACGUGAGGGAUGACGGCCUUCGGGUUGUAAACCUCUUUUAGUAGGGAAGAAGCGAAAGUGACGGUACCUGCAGAAAAAGCACCGGCUAACUACGUGCCAGCAGCCGCGGUAAUACGUAGGGUGCAAGCGUUGUCCGGAAUUAUUGGGCGUAAAGAGCUCGUAGGCGGCUUGUCGCGUCUGCUGUGAAAUCCCGGGGCUCAACCCCGGGCCUGCAGUGGGUACGGGCAGGCUAGAGUGCGGUAGGGGAGAUUGGAAUUCCUGGUGUAGCGGUGGAAUGCGCAGAUAUCAGGAGGAACACCGAUGGCGAAGGCAGAUCUCUGGGCCGCUACUGACGCUGAGGAGCGAAAGCAUGGGGAGCGAACAGGAUUAGAAACCCGGGUAGUCC
rnacentral:rRNA from 1 species